rnacentral:rRNA from 1 species
AACGAACGCUGGCGGCAUGCCUAACACAUGCAAGUCGAACGAGACCUUCGGGUCUAGUGGCGCACGGGGGCGUAACGCGUGGGAACCUGCCCUUAGGUUCGGAAUAACUCCCCGAAAGGGGUGCUAAUACCGGAUAAUCUCUUCGGACCAAAGAUUUUUCGCCUUUGGAUGGGCCCGCGUUGGAUUCGCUAGUUGGUAGGGUAAAAGCCUACCAAGGCGACGAUCCAUAGCUGGUCUGAGAGGAUGAUCAGCCACACUGGGAAUGAGACACGGCCCAGACUGCUACGGGAGGCAGCAGUGGGGAAUAUUGGACAAGGAGCGAAAGCCUGAUCCAGCAAUGCCGCGGGAGUGAUGAAGGCCUUAGGGUUGUAAAGCUCUUUUACCCGGGAUGAUAAUGACAGUACCGGGAGAAGAAGCUCCGGCUAACUCCGUG